UGUGUUUCGUUCCUUUUGCCUAGUAUCCGAAGUGUGUAAUCAUGGUAGUCUCCUUCUUGGAAUCUAUCUCUUGCCAUUCUGAAUGUUUUUGCGAGGAUGUUGUUGUCGUCAAGCAUUAUUUUCAGUUUUUUGACAAUGUUGGGGCCCACUGUUGAUUUAUUAGCAUUGCAUCUUGACGCACUUAUCCUGUUUCCACCUCAUUUUCGGUAUUAUAGAUGUAUAGCUGUGCGAACCGAGGUUUGUCUGUACCUUGAGGCAAAAGAGUUCCGAUAUGGUGGUAGUUCUAUCCAUGCAAACGAAAAACAUAAGGUCCUUUGCGAGUAUUUAUUUCCUUGUCCACAACUCCUCCCAUCGAUGUGAAUGAGAACAUUGAGUUGUAUGACCUUAUACUUUCUUUGAAGUUUACCGAAUCCUGCCCUUCACUUCUUAGGAGGUUUCUGGGGUAUGGUGGAGGUUCUCUUAGUGGCGGCAGAUCGAUUUUCCCCUGUUUGCAGCAUAUUCCAAAAGAGGGUGCUGUAGUUCCUUUGUUUGAACUUAAUCUUUCCUCACACCAUAGCAAUGCUUUGCAAUAUUGGCAUUUGUAUAUUGGCCUUCCGAAGUUCCAUGGCUUUCUAUUAGCACUUGUCAAGGUUCUGGUUCUGUUGUUGUCUCCAACAUUGACUCUAAUGUUGUUUCUGUUGGUAUCGCUUCUUGCGCGCUUCAAUUCCUUAUCUUCUUCAGCAUUAGCCUUUCUGAAUCGUUUAGGAUCCUCUGUGUUUGUGUUUGUGUUUCUUCUUCCCUCUCCAGUCCUUGUCCGCUUUGUACUCCUUGAGUUUAGAGGUUGUUCUUUCUUUCUUUUUGUAUGGUGAGCUGCUGGAGGUGACAUAUGUUGGACUCUCAUACCUGCAAAUGUGAUUUCGUCAAUGCGUAUAGAGUUUUCUUAACAUAGUAUCAUGUAAUAUGAUUUAUGUUGUACUUAAUGAUGUUUUGCUGUUGCAGAUAUGCAAGUGCAUUUGGAGAUAUAAGGGACUACUAAUGAAGAUGUCACAUACAGUACAGUUGGAGAUCAAUGUUAUUUAUCUGGUAGGGCGCUAUAAAUAAAAAAUUGUUCAACCAUGUUGCUCUUUUUGUAGCUUUCACAUCACUAUCAUGGUAGUAUCAGGAUGCAUGAAAAAAGUGAUUUAUAGUUUAGUAUCAGAAGAGUUUUGAGAUAGAAUAUUAGAAGCAAGGUUGAGCUGAUAUCAAAAUGCAGGGGAAAACUUGAAGAAUUGCAUGUGGAUAUUACCCAAGGUUGAUGGUGCCGAUGCCGUGUCUUCAGUUUGUUGGGCGUUUCUUUGUGCCUUCGAUCGUUUCGGCAUCGCGGGCGUAUAUUGGAUGCAAGUUGCUGGAGUUGUUACCAUGCCUUCAAUUUGUCGGCCGUCUCGUCCCUUUGAUUGUCCUGAUAUCUUGAAUAAGGAUCUAUUGAGAAAGUGCAUCAUGGGUCAUUUAGAAAUGUUUGUCUUGUAAAAAUAUAGUUGAAAUUAUGUGAUAUAAGCAGAAGGGAUGAGUGUGUGACCAUACCUCUUAUUUGUUUUCUGAGACUGAUCUAGCAAUUUGUAUCUUCACGUAGGGAUUUGUAUUAUUUAAAUUACCUGAGAGCAGAGGUUCUAUGAGAAUAUGUUAGCUUGUAAUAAGGAUGUCAAAAUAAUAUGCUUAUUAAAAAGAGGAAAUACAUAAUACCCUGAAGCCUUUUCCUGUUUAUUA
rnacentral:lncRNA from 1 species